rnacentral:tRNA from 1 species
AAGAAGACCCAAACCAGAGCUGCUAACUCAGGGAUUCUAAGACUAACUUCUUAGACUUCUUA